GAUGAAAAGAAGCGACAGGAGGAACACAUGCAAGUGGAGGCGCAGCAUAAAAGUAGCAAUACGGGGGGUGCGACCGGCGCACGGGUGAGUAACACAUAUGCAAACAACAGUUCAGAUGGGAAUACCCCGGCGAAAGUCGGACUACAAAAGCAUAAAACCAGGUGAACGCAUGUGUAGACGUGUUAAAGACACUCGCUGAUAGAUGGGCAUGCGUUCCAUUAGGUAGUUGGUGAGUUUACGGCUCACCAAGCCGACGAUGGAUAGGGGAACUGAGAGGUUGGUCCCCCACUCUGGUACUGGCAUACGGACCAGACUCCUACGGGAGGCAGCAGUGAGGAAUAUUGGUCAAUGGGUUUGUGCGUGAACCAUCCAAGUCGCGUGAAGGAAGAAGGAUCUGUGGUUCGUAAACUUCUUUUGCAGGGGAAUAAAGUGCAGGACGUGUCCUGUUUUGUAUGUACCCUGAGAAUAAGGAUCGGCUAACUCCGUGCCAGCCGCCGCGGUAAAAC
rnacentral:rRNA from 1 species